GGUGAGGGUUUCUUUUGGAACCCCCACCCGGGAGAUAAGACGAAACACGACAUCCGCAACACUGUUAGCGGAAAUGUUGCGGAGGGCCACUGCUUCAGGAUAUCGUGUUGCAUAAUCAACUAUGACUAAUGCAAAGCAAUGUCCUCGUGCCGAUCACUCUAAUGGCCCGAUGAGGUCCAUACCAAUUCUCUCGAAGGGGACCUGCAUUAACGGAAGAGGGGGCAAAGGCGCUUUUGGGGCGGCUGGUGGGUUCGCCUGAGAGCAGGGGAAUGAGGCGCACUGGCCACUGCUCACGGGGCCAGCCGCACGCCUCCGCCGACUUCUGGAACAGCUCCAGGAAAGCCUCCAGAUCGUCUUGGGGCCCCGUCGGAGCGAACCUCCCGAUCAAUCCAGCUCCGGAUCCUCCCGUGGUCCUCCUGCUGGGCCUGGACAAUGGCUUGGAAGCGCCUCUCCUGGUCGGUCCUCAAGUCCAGCAGGGCCUGGUGUUGUUUGCGGUGCAGGACCGCGAGGGAGGCGAUGAUGCCCGCAAGCGGCGUGUGGGAUGGGCUUUGCAUGGAGGCGGCGGCGGUCCUUCUUCCUUCCCGGGUUUCGGCACCAGUGUAGAACGUUCGUUGGAGGAAAGGAAGAGGACAAAGGGGUCGGCUGGACUGCUGAUGUAUUUAUUUAACAAAAUAACUGAAAUUUUACAAACACCAAAUGGUGACUUCUAUUCUGACACGUUUGCCAAACACUUUCGGUUUACUCCUUCCGAUUUCCAUUUCCGGUUCGGGUCAGCAGUCCGUCUCUCUCUCGCUUGCUUCCGUCUCUCCUGGCGUUUUAUACUCUCUCCACGCCAAUUACUGAAACCAGAAACAGGUGAAGAUAAUUUUUGCCCAAACCACUCACUUACCGCUCGUCUCCUGAUUCUCUCUCCCGCUGCAGACUUCGCUAAACCACCGACCCCCCCCCCCCCCCCCCCCUCCCCGCAACACUAAUUCACUGAGAUGCACCUGUACGUGAUUCAGUUCCUCAAUAACCUCAUGGCGAAGUUCUUUGU
rnacentral:lncRNA from 1 species